CUGGAGGUAUCAGAAGUGCGAAUGCUGACAUAAGUAACGAUAAAGCGGGUGAAAAGCCCGCUCGCCGGAAGACCAAGGGUUCCUGUCCAACGUUAAUCGGGGCAGGGUGAGUCGACCCCUAAGGCGAGGCCGAAAGGCGUAGUCGAUGGGAAACGGGUUAAUAUUCCCGUACUUGGUGUUACUGCGAAGGGGGGACGGAGAAGGCUAUGUUGGCCGGGCGACGGUUGUCCCGGUUUAAGCGUGUAGGCUGGUUUUCCAGGCAAAUCCGGAAAAUCAAGGCUGAGGCGUGACGACGAGGCACUACGGUGCUGAAGCAACAAAUGCCCUGCUUCCAGGAAAAGCCUCUAAGCAUCAGGUAACAUCAAAUCGUACCCCAAACCGACACAGGUGGUCAGGUAGAGAAUACCAAGGCGCUUGAGAGAACUCGGGUGAAGGAACUAGGCAAAAUGGUGCCGUAACUUCGGGAGAAGGCACGCUGACACGUAGGUGAAGUGAUUUACUCAUGGAGCUGAAGUCAGUCGAAGAUACCAGCUGGCUGCAACUGUUUAUUAAAAACACAGCACUGUGCAAACACGAAAGUGGACGUAUACGGUGUGACGCCUGCCCGGUGCCGGAAGGUUAAUUGAUGGGGUCAGCGCAAGCGAAGCUCCUGAUCGAAGCCCCGGUAAACGGCGGCCGUAACUAUAACGGUCCUAAGGUAGCGAAAUUCCUUGUCGGGUAAGUUCCGACCUGCACGAAUGGCGUAAUGAUGGCCAGGCUGUCUCCACCCGAGACUCAGUGAAAUUGAACUCGCUGUGAAGAUGCAGUGUACCCGCGGCAAGACGGAAAGACCCCGUGAACCUUUACUAUAGCUUGACACUGAACAUUGAGCCUUGAUGUGUAGGAUAGGUGGGAGGCUUUGAAGUGUGGACGCCAGUCUGCAUGGAGCCGGCCUUGAAAUACCACCCUUUAAUGUUUGAUGUUCUAACGUGGACCCGUGAUCCGGGUUGCGGACAGUGUCUGGUGGGUAGUUUGACUGGGGCGGUCUCCUCCUAAAGAGUAACGGAGGAGCACGAAGGUUGGCUAAUCCUGGUCGGACAUCAGGAGGUUAGUGCAAUGGCAUAAGCCAGCUUGACUGCGAGCGUGACGGCGCGAGCAGGUGCGAAAGCAGGUCAUAGUGAUCCGGUGGUUCUGAAUGGAAGGGCCAUCGCUCAACGGAUAAAAGGUACUCCGGGGAUAACAGGCUGAUACCGCCCAAGAGUUCAUAUCGACGGCGGUGUUUGGCACCUCGAUGUCGGCUCAUCACAUCCUGGGGCUGAAGUAGGUCCCAAGGGUAUGGCUGUUCGCCAUUUAAAGUGGUACGCGAGCUGGGUUUAGAACGUCGUGAGACAGUUCGGUCCCUAUCUGCCGUGGGCGCUGGAGAACUGAGGGGGGCUGCUCCUAGUACGAGAGGACCGGAGUGGACGCAUCACUGGUGUUCGGGUUGUCAUGCCAAU
rnacentral:rRNA from 2 species